AUGCUAUUUAACUUAAUAUUUUGUUUUUUUUCCCCACAUUUUACUUUUGCAGUUGGUUUUUAUGCUAAAGAAGAAGAAACCUUGAGAAAAUAAAUAGCAACUGCUGUUUUCUGUCCUCAGGUUGUAUACCAUUCAACAAAACAAAACAACAAAACAAAACAGAUAAAAACAACAACAACAACAAAAUGAAAGAAGAAAUAUUCUGGUGGGGCUUCAGUAAUCCAUAUUUUAAAAAUUACAAGUGUCACGGGUAAUUUGAAGGCAGAUCAGGCAUCUUCUAAAUCAGAAUGGAUGGACCUCACUAGAAAAUACUACCAACAGUUAUAAAGGUAAACAGAAACAAUUUCCAAUAGUUUAUUUUCAAAAGCAGUUAGUUGUUAACCCUAUCAAAAGUAAGUUAUGAUUUUGAAAGUGCCACAUAUCUUCUUUUUGUUUGCUUCAGUUUACAUAGAUGUUAUCUUCUUAAUAUGAUGACUGCUCUUUAAUAUUGAUCGUCAUUGCACUUCACUGGCAAAAAUAAAUCACAGGGUGUUAAGAUGAUUAAUGUAACUGUCAGGAGAAAUAUUAAUA
rnacentral:lncRNA from 1 species